GGACCUUUCCUUGGCUCUAAUGUUAGUGACCGGUCCUGAAAGGUACUUUUCCCUUCGGGACACGAAACAAGGUGCUGCAUGGUUGUCGUCAGCUCGUGCCGUGAGGUGUUGGGUUAAGUCCCGCAACGAGCGCAACCCUUAUCACUAGUUGCCAGCAUUAAGGUGGGGACUCUAGUGAGCUGCCGGCGUAAGCCGUGAGGAAGGUGGGGACGACGUCAAAUCAUCAUGGCCUUUAUGCCUAGGGCUACGCACGUGCUACAAUGGCGAGUCAGAGGGCGGCGAAGCCGCAAGGUGGAGCCAAUCUCAUAAAACUCGUCCCAGUUCGGAUUGAAGUCUGGAACUCGACUUCAUGAAGGUGGAAUCGCUAGUAAUCGCGCAUCAGCCAUGGCGCGGUGAAUACGUUCCCGGACCUUGUACCACACGCCCGUCAAG
rnacentral:rRNA from 1 species